rnacentral:tRNA from 1 species
UCAGUUAAGCGCCUCACUUACACCGAGAAGACAUCCAUGCAAAUUGGAUUGCCCUGAGCCAAACAGCUAG